rfam:Aedes aegypti strain Liverpool supercont1.75 genomic scaffold, whole genome shotgun sequence.
UGCCCAGCAACUCCUAUCCCUACCUCCUCGUGGUACUGGCUGGGGUACGAGUAACCUUGGGGAAGAUUGGCUAACCAACCCCCGGUGGGAACUUUGGUCGUAUGCUGACAGGGAAAG